UAGUGAGUUAUAAAAUUGGCAUGAAUAUACUUGGAUGGUCGAGGGUCUUUAAAGUUAUUGCUCUGAUUUUAUUUGGGCAUAUAGACUUCUUGCUACUAAAACACCUGGGUGGAGAUUAUUUGAAGGCGUGAAGACUAGAGAAAAGGGGUGAAUUUCAUUUGGAUGCCAAACAACUCAUUUCCAUGGUCGUGGAUUCAUAGCAGAAGAAGAAUUUGUCGCUGGGAAUCAUUUUUAAUUUUUAAAUAACCAGGAAUAAAGACAGAGAUUGGCUGCAUUUGUGAGUUUUUCCACAGAUACUGUGGUCAUUUUUACACAUAAGGAAGAAAAACGAAACCCAAGUUUUAAUUUUCUUUGGUAGCACCAAGUUUUUUUAAAAUUGUGUGAUUUUUAGCAAUUUUUACCAGUUUUAAACACUGAGAGCCAUUCUAAAACUCAUUUGCAAGUUUAUCGGCAAAAACUCGCGGCCAAUUAGGGCUCGCAAGUACUUGCAAUUCUAGCAAUUUUUAUGCGAUUUUUUAAACUUUGAUGAGAAGGUAAUGGUCCAAGGAUGAUUUCUUUUGGUGGUGUGUGCAAAGUUUUGAUUUCACCUCUGUUUGAAGGGAUGUGUACUGUUUUUCUUUUGUAGCUGGAUUUUCUGUUUUUUUGCAGGGUUUCAUUUCAGGUAGUGCUGGGUGUCUGCGUUAAAAGGCAAAGGAUAGUGAAGCAACAGGUUGCUGGAAGGCAGAGAGAUCCUUUUUACUGAGAGGCAGUGUCAGACUGCAGACUUAGGGCGUAAUUGCCCAAAUGUAGCUACUCUAAGAAUGAUCAAGUGAUUCUAGAUUCCAUGGGUAGUGCAAAUACAGGCAAAUUCUGUCUAGGAGCAUUAUUGCUGCUGAUUUAUCACUAAACUAGAGGAAUAGAUGCCCGAAAAGGUCAUUCAUUAAUAGAUUAUUGGUCAGGGCUUCCAGAAAAGGCAGAGCAGGCAGCUGGCAUUGGUACCAUUUUCCCCUGCAGCAGUGGUAGAUUCUUCCAUGAAGAAUGAAUAAUGGCUCCUAUUCACCAGGAAUUCCAUUCCCUGCAUAUGGAGAUUAAAACCAUCCACUGUCAUAAGGAAGGUUUGGUUGAUUUCUAUACAGACCUGGCAUUGGUAUUUGAAUCUCUGGCAAUUACACACAAAAAGGAAACCUCGCGCUGGAUCUGUGUUUUUCUUAACCCCCAUUGUCUGGUGGUAUCCUAAGCAAAGCAAAUAGGAAGUCGAAGAUCUACCAAGGCAUCCUAUUUCAACAGCAGGAAGAAAGUGAGCAGAAUUAUGCAGGGAGUGUUGGUGUGAACAUGGUGAUCUUUAGCUCUUGUGGGGUUGAUCAACUCUUACAGGGAGGAAGUGGAGUUGACAACAAUCUGUGUGCAAGGUUCAAUGGUAUUGCAAAGACUGGUUCUCUUGGGGUGGCAAAUAUAACAUUAUGUUUAGAAUUGAUAUGCCCUCAAUGUUUUCUCAUUAAUCUUGAGUUAGAUGCUUGGUAGAAUAGCUUAUUGGUUGAUGUAUUAGAUGCAUUUGUAAGAUAACUAGCUACAAGAAAGCUAUAAAAUAAAUUGUUGUCGCCACUCAAGCAACAGAAUAGUAUCUAAAACAUCUGUUUGCUGAACUACAAAGUCACCCACAACAGGCACUACAGACAAUUUCUGUCUAGGAGCAUCAUUGCUGCCGAUUUUAUCAUUAAACAAGAGAAUUUGGUGACUGGAAAGGCCAUUCACGAAUGGCUUAUAGAUCAAGUGCUUCCAGAAAAGAGCAGAGCAGGCAGCAGCAUUGGUGGUAUUUUCCCCUGUGACAGUGAUGAACUCUUCCAUGAAGCAUGGCCACUGUAUUCACAAGGAAAUCCAUCUACCAGGCCUGGCAUUAAUGGUUAAAUCUCUGGUAAUUGCACACAGAAAAGGAAAGCUGCAGCUGAACUCAUGUUUUUCUUUGCCCCACUAUCUGGUAAUAUUCUGAGCAAGGCAGCUCAGAAGUCAGAGAUCUACCCAUGCAUCCCAUUUCAACAAAAGGAAGAAAGUGUAAGCAGAAAUAUGCAGCGAGGAGGUGAAGUUGGCAGCUCUCUGAAUGCAGGGUCUUAGGGUGGCAAAUAUAGCAUUAUGUGUAGGGUUGAUAAGGCCUCAAUGUUUUCUUAUUAAUCAUGUGUUAGAUUAACAAACAGCUGUUGCCACUCAAGCAAUAGAACAGUGUCUAACACAUCUGUUUGCUUAACUAUAAGCUCGGCCAGAUUUUAAAGAGGGUAUUCAAGGUUAUGGCAGUGAA